ACACAUAUGUGGCACCUCUCACACACGCACACAUAUAUAGCACCCCUAUAUUAUGUGUGUGAGGGGUGAUAUAUAUAUAUAUAUAUAUCACCCCUCACACACAUAAUAUAGGGGUGCUAUAUAUGUGUGCGUGUGUGAGGGGUGCCACAUAUGUGU